CCUACGGGAGGCAGCAGUGGGGAAUUUUGGACAAUGGGCGCAAGCCUGAUCCAGCCAUUCCGCGUGCAGGAUGAAGGCCCUCGGGUUGUAAACUGCUUUUGUACAGAACGAAAAGGCUCUGGUUAAUACCUGGGGCUCAUGACGGUACUGUAAGAAUAAGCACCGGCUAACUACGUGCCAGCAGCCGCGGUAAUACGUAGGGUGCAAGCGUUAAUCGGAAUUACUGGGCGUAAAGCGUGCGCAGGCGGUUUUGUAAGACAGGCGUGAAAUCCCCGGGCUUAACCUGGGAACUGCGCUUGUGACUGCAUCACUUGAGUACGGCAGAGGGGGGUGGAAUUCCACGUGUAGCAGUGAAAUGCGUAGAGAUGUGGAGGAACACCGAUGGCGAAGGCAGCCCCCUGGGUCGAUACUGACGCUCAUGCACGAAAGCGUGGGGAGCAAACAGGAUUAGAUACCCUGGUAGUCCACGCCCUAAACGAUGUCAACUAGGUGUUGGGUGGGUAAAACCAUUUAGUACCGUAGCUAACGCGUGAAGUUGACCGCCUGGGGAGUACGGCCGCAAGGUUAAAACUCAAAGGAAUUGACGG
rnacentral:rRNA from 1 species